rnacentral:rRNA from 1 species
GACGGAGGGUGCUAGCGUUGUUCGGAAUUACUGGGCGUAAAGGGCGCGUAGGCGGCCUGGUCAGUCGGAUGUGAAAGCCCGGGGCUCAACCCCGGAACGGCAUCCGAGACGGCCAGGCUGGAGACCGGGAGAGGAGAGUGGAAUAGCCAGUGUAGAGGUGAAAUUCGUAGAUAUUGGCUGGAACACCGGUGGCGAAAGCGGCUCUCUGGCCCGGUUCUGACGCUGAGACGCGAAAGCGUGGGGAGCAAACAGG